UAUUCUGCACCUAACUUUCACAAUAUUCUUUUUCCUUUGCAACAAAUUGCUUAUGCUACAUCUCCUUUGCUGUGUGUUUCUUGUUUAAACAAAAGAACAUAGGCUUCA